GUGGGGAAUAUUGGACAAUGGGGGGAACCCUGAUCCAGCCAUGCCGCGUGUGUGAAGAAGGCCUUUUGGUUGUAAAGCACUUUAAGCGAGGAGGAGGCUACCGAGAUUAAUACUCUUGGAUAGUGGACGUUACUCGCCGAAUAAGCACCGGCUAACUCUGUGCCAGCAGCCGCGGUAAUACAGAGGGUGCAAGCGUUAAUCGGAUUUACUGGGCGUAAAGCGCGCGUAGGUGGCCAAUUAAGUCAAAUGUGAAAUCCCCGAGCUUAACUUGGGAAUUGCAUUCGAUACUGGUUGGCUAGAGUAUGGGAGAGGAUGGUAGAAUUCCAGGUGUAGCGGUGAAAUGCGUAGAGAUCUGGAGGAAUACCGAUGGCGAAGGCAGCCAUCUGGCCUAAUACUGACACUGAGUUGCGAAAGCAUGGGGAGCAAACAGGAUUAGAAACCCCAGUAGUCC
rnacentral:rRNA from 1 species